rnacentral:rRNA from 1 species
UACAGAGGUCUCAAGCGUUGUUCGGAUUCAUUGGGCGUAAAGGGUGCGUAGGUGGCGCCGUAAGUCAGGUGUGAAAUUUCGGAGCUUAACUCCGAAACUGCAUUUGAUACUGCGGUGCUUGAGGACUGGAGAGGAGACUGGAAUUCAUGGUGUAGCAGUGAAAUGCGUAGAGAUCAUGAGGAAGACCAGUGGCGAAAGCGGGUCUCUGGACAGUUCCUGACACUGAGACACGAAGGCCAGGGGAGCAAACGGG